UCGAACCCAAAUCUCCCUCAUUGCAGGCGGAUUCUUUACCAGCUGAGUCCCAAGGAAGCCCUUAAACCUUUUAUUUUAUUUUAUUUUAUUUACUGAGUACCUUUUAUUUACAGUGCCUAUCGUUCUGUUACCUAUUAUUGGUUCUCCUCAGACUGGCGAUUGGCUGAUGGCCCCGUCAAUCCCCAGGGGAAAGGACUAACUUUCGGACACCUCGGAAAAAUAUUACUGUGAGCCCCUUCUUGUUGAAAUGUAAGAUUCUGGAGAAAACCCAAGAGAUUCGCUGGUGUGUGCAUCCAUAGAUAAUCAGAAAGCUACUUUGUGAACCUGGAAUGAAAAAAAGCAGGAUUGGUUGUAUUAUUUGAUGGAUAAUGGUAUUAUUUCCUGUUGAAGAUGUUCACACAGCAAGAGGCACAUGAUAUUACUUGGAGAAGGUGAAGAGAGUUCAGAUGACAUCCCUUCCCUGUUCUUCCUCCCAAGCAUAGUUCUGUGGACAGUUUUGGUGACUAUGAAGGGACUCAGAGCUGAUUUCUCUCUUUCUGCUGAGUUCUAUGAGGAUCCAAAGCCUUGGUACCAGCAAGGGCCUUUUGUGCCCAUCCACCUCCACCAGGAGUCCAGACAACCGGACAGUUGUUCUUUUACUCUGAUGCCUUUACAAAAGUGAAGCUCUUCAAGAAGGUUAAUGGAAGACCUUUUGACAAGUGCAGAUUUCUGAUAACUUUCAGAUAAUACCACUGAACCAGGACACAAAUGGAAGCACUGGUUAUUAUCACCAAGGCUUUGACUGAAAUGUCAGGUUUGAGAAUUACAUAAAAUCAGAUAUUACCAGACAACUUCGGAGAACUAAAAUGGACUUUAUGGAGCCAUUUCCUUAGAAAAACAGACUAAUCUUGCUCAGAGUUCUCAGCAACCUCACCAGGUGACUAAGAAAGGUCACUUCCUGGCAGGUAUAAGAACCUCAAGAUAUUUUGGGGAAAUUCAGAAGAGAGAAAUUCACCCAACUCUAUAAUUGUUACAGUUAGAUCUCAUGGCAAGUCUUUGGAAUGAUAUUCCUGGCCUCAGUAGGCUUUCAACAGUCAAUCUGAGAUUCCUUAUAGAAGCAUUAUUAAAGCACAUUGACCAGAGUGUAAAUGAUCAACCGCCAGUCUUGUUAAACUAAUGUAGACAAUCAGGUCCAAUUUAUUGAAACUAGACUAACAUUGCAAAUAAAUUAGUCUUAAUUUGGCUAUAUUUGGUAGAAAUUUGAGUAACAUUAGAGAAGAAAUUGUUUUAGUGGAUAUCAGGUUCUAGUGCUGCUAAUUUUAUUUCAAGUUAGGUAAUUACUAUCUAAACUCACUUCCUAGAUGGCUCCUUAUAGCUCUGUUAUGUUACAGAAAAAGGUCAUUGUUCAUUCAUUAAAAGGAAUGAAAAAGUUCAUUCAUUAAAAGGACAUUGUAAGUUUAUUUAUGCUAUUCAAUGAUAGAAAUAUAUCUUUGGAUAAAGAUAUCUUAAAGGAGAUCAACCCUGAAUAUUUAUUGGAAGGACUGAUGCUGAAGCUCCAAUACUUUGGCCACCUGAUGCACAGAGCCAACUCAUUUGAAAA